GACGAACGCUGGCGGCGUGCCUAAUACAUGCAAGUAGAACGCUGAAGAGAGGAGCUUGCUCUUCUUGGAUGAGUUGCGAACGGGUGAGUAACGCGUAGGUAACCUGCCUUGUAGCGGGGGAUAACUAUUGGAAACGAUAGCUAAUACCGCAUAACAAUGGAUGACACAUGUCAUUUAUUUGAAAGGGGCAAUUGCUCCACUACAAGAUGGACCUGCGUUGUAUUAGCUAGUAGGUGAGGUAAUGGCUCACCUAGGCGACGAUACAUAGCCGACCUGAGAGGGUGAUCGGCCACACUGGGACUGAGACACGGCCCAGACUCCUACGGGAGGCAGCAGUAGGGAAUCUUCGGCAAUGGGGGCAACCCUGACCAAGCAACGCCGCGUGAGUGAAGAAGGUUUUCGGAUCGUAAAGCUCUGUUGUAAGUCAAGAACGGGUGUGAGAGUGGAAAGUUCACACUGUGACGGUAGCUUACCAGAAAGGGACGGCUAACUACGUG
rnacentral:rRNA from 1 species